GCCCUCGUAGCUCAGUCGGAUAGAGCACAGGAUUCCUAAUCCUGGUGCCACAGGUUCGAUUCCUGUCGAGGGCACCA
rnacentral:tRNA from 1 species